UACGUAGGGUCCAAGCGUUAUCCGGAAUUAUUGGGCGUAAAGAGCUCGUAGGCGGUCUGUCGCGUCUGCUGUGAAAACUCAGGGCUUAACCCUGAGCUUGCAGUGGGUACGGGCAGACUAGAGUGCGGUAGGGGAGACUGGAAUUCCUGGUGUAGCGGUGAAAUGCGUAGAGAUCGGAAGGAACACCAGUGGCGAAGGCGACUACCUGGACUGACACUGACGCUGAGGCGCGAAAGCUAGGGUAGCAAACGGG
rnacentral:rRNA from 1 species